GCAUGCUCCUGUAGGCUGAGGCAAGAAGAGUGAGAAUUUCUGGCCCAACCUGAGAAGACUUUGUCUCAAAAUCUAAGCAAAAGAGGAAAUAGGAACUUUAUGAGCUUAUGAACUAAGGAUUCCAAGAAGCCUGAGGAAUACACCUUGUGCCAUUUACAUCACAGAGGAGCUUCCAAGACCCGUUUUCAAAAGUCUCAUGGAUUUUCUAGAAACAUGCUGUUGUUUUCCAGGUAAUGCUCCCUCUCAGGAUAUUUUAGAGAUCUGC
rnacentral:lncRNA from 1 species